UUGGUGAAAAUUCAAGGAAACAUGUGACAAAAGGUGGUGAGCAAAGUACACUGGUAAAAGUACAGAGAUUGUGCUUGGAGAUUGGGAUUAGAAGUACAUUGACUCCUAAAACUGCUCGAGGAAUUCUAUAGUUAGCUGACUUUGACAAGGACUUUCAUUUGGACUUGAAUCAGCAAAAGCUGUAGGCUUUCAGCUUUCGAUGCAUUUUGGUUAGA
rnacentral:sRNA from 1 species